rnacentral:rRNA from 1 species
UACGUAGGUGACAAGCGUUGUCCGGAUUUACUGGGCGUAAAGAGCGCGCAGGCGGUCGUUCAAGUCGAGUGUGAAAGCCCCCCGGCUCAACUGGGGAGGGUCAUUCGAUACUGAUCGACUCGAAGGCAGGAGAGGGUAGUGGAAUUCCCGGUGUAGUGGUGAAAUGCGUAGAUAUCGGGAGGAACACCAGUGGCGAAGGCGACUACCUGGCCUGUUCUUGACGCUGAGGCGCGAAAAGCUAGGGGAGCAAACGGG